GUGUAUUGGUCAGCUUUAUUAAUCUGUCUAUUCUAAUUUGCAUUAGCUUAUUAAGUUUGUCAAAUAUUCCAGUUUUUAGCAUGUAAUGCUUGAAGCUUUGCAUUUAUAUCACGGCAGCAAGUCUACUGUUCUUUGCAGACUGCUAUUUCACACAGAAGAUGAUAACUGAAAAUGAGACUUUUGCUUAUUCUUUUUACGAAAUUGAUUUCGUCGGUACCUGUUUGACUUUCCAAAAAAAGUCUGAUUUUCUGCAUGACAAGGGCCCAAAAGCCCGUCAAGUUUACUAUUGGAAAAUUUGCACCUCUCACGGUGGUUGCGAUAGUUACCGUAACCAAGGCGUCAUAUUCUUACCACACGCUGUCACAAAGCCGUCGAAAGCAUUAGACACGUAAUUUAUCCUUUUCACACUACGCGUUUAUUAUUCUUCUGUUAAAUCAAUACUGAUGAAGUAUCUAGUAAAUUGCAACUAAACAACUAAAUGUUUUAAAUUGUUUAUUCAC